CAAUACCCCCUGUAUAUAGUCUCCACAUUGACUCUGUACCAGUACCUCCUGUAUAUAGCCUCCACAUUGACUCUGUACCAGUACCCCCUGUAUAUAGCCUCCACAUUGACUCUGUACCGUAACACCCUGUAUAUAGCCUCCACAUUGACUCUGUACCGUAACACCCUGUAUAUAGCCUCCACAUUGACUCUGUACCAGUACCCCCUGUAUAUAGCCUCCACAUUGACUCUGUAUCGGUACCCCCUGUAUAUAGCCUCCACAUUGACUCUGUACCAGUACCCCCUGUAUAUAGCCUCCACAUUGACUCUGUACCAAUACCCCCUGUAUAUAGUCUCCACAUUGACUCUGUACCGUAAUACCCUGUAUAUAGCCUCCACAUUGACUCUGUACCAGUACCCCCUGAAUAUAGCCUCCACAUUGACUCUGUACCGUAAUACCCCCCUGUAUAUAGUCUCCACAUUGACUCUGUACCAGUACCCCCUUUAUAUAGCCUCCACGUUGACACAGUACCAGUUCCCCCUGUAUAUAGUCUCCACAUUGACUCUGUACCAAUACCCACUGUAUAUAGCCUCCACAUUGACUCUGUACCAAUACCUCCUGUAUAUAGCCUCCACAUUGACUCUGUACCAGUACCCCCUGUAUAUAGCCUCCACAUUGACUCUGUACCAAUACCCCCUGUAUAUAGUCUCCACAUUGACUCUGUACCAGUACCUCCUGUAUAUAGCCUCCACAUUGACUCUGUACCAGUACCCCCUGUAUAUAGCCUCCACAUUGACUCUGUACCAGUACCUCCUGUAUAUAGCCUCCACAUUGACUCUGUACCAGUACCCCCUGUAUAUAGCCUCCACAUUGACUCUGUACCAGUACCCCCUGUAUAUAUCCUCCACAUUGACUCUGUACCAGUACCUCCUGUAUAUAGCCUCCACAUUGACUCUGUACCAGUACCCCCUGUAUAUAGCCUCCACAUUGACUCUGUACCAGUACCCCCUGUAUAUAGCCUCCACAUUGACUCUGUACCAGUACCCCCUGUAUAUAGCCUCCACAUUGACUCUGUACCGUAACACCCUGUAUAUAGCCUCCACAUUGACUCUGUACCUGUACCCCCUGUAUAUAGCCUCCACAUUGACUCUGUACCGGUACUUCCUGUAUAUAGCCUCCACAUUGACUCUGUACCAGUACCCCCUGUAUAUAGCCUCCACAUUGACUCUGUACCAGUACCCCCUGUAUAUAUCCUCCACAUUGACUCUGUACCGUACACCCUGUAUAUAG
rnacentral:lncRNA from 1 species